CGCGCAAACACCGGCAGCAGGAGCGGUAGUAACUCUCGGAUACCCUCCAGGCCUGGCUCCUCCUCUUCCGGCUGAGCCGCCGCGGCGCGGCUCCUUCUUCCGCUCCCAGAGUGCCGCGCGGGUCGGGCUGGGUAAGGCAUAAGAAUUGAAGUCUAAAAGAAGCAUAUUUUUGGACUAAAUUAUUUAAAGGAUAUAAAGAAGACAGCUUGAAACCAUAAAUUCCAGGAGGAUGCCCCACAGUAGUUAUGAAAUGCCAAACAUGAUAUCCCUGGCACAGCUAGCUGCUCAGCGUCUCCUCUCCUCUGCCACUGAGGAAAUCAUGCUCCAGGAGCCCCCGAUGCCAGUCCUGGCUCUCAUCUGUGUGCGGUGCUGACUAUUCCAUGGCUGUGAACCAGGAUGAGGUCCUGGUAAGGAACACAGAACUAUUAAAUCACCAACAACUGCAAGAGUUCGGGAAAGGUCAAAGGGAGACACCACAUGUCCCACCACUUCCCAGAAUCCUUCUCGCAUCCAUCUUGGCUGAACAAGGCAUGCACCACCAGGAAGGAAUCUUGAGUCAGGAUGAUUGGCUAAAGACAACCUGGAAACUAAUCCCAACACCAUAAAACCAGAGACUGCCAGCCACGUGGCAGAGCAAGUCUCCUGGGUUCCCCUAACCUACUGCUCUCUGCCUGGACACACUU